GGAGGUAGUAAUAAUUAUCUUGAUGUUGGCCUUGUUCACCUAGUAACUCUUCAACUUAUUUUAUAUUCAAUCAUAAUUGUACUCCUUCCUACUUGAAACUACUAUAAUAUAUGAUGAUGGUAAUUCCAAUAAUUGUUAAACAUGGGUUGUAGGGGUCUCCCAUGGGUUUUAUUUUGAGCCAAGUUAUUAAAUGGGUCAUUAUAUAUAGGUCAAAAGUCUAAAUUUCUUAUUUUGAUAUUGAAGUAGAAUUAGAAGUCAUUAAAGUUUCCCAUUAUGAUUGAAGUAGAAUUGAAAGUCAUAGUCGGUCUAGAAUAUUAGUAGUUGGUAAAUAAUUUUAGUUUCUAAAUUUGAGUUAUAGUCCUUACAAAAUUAGGAGAGUCAUUAGCCUAUAAAUAUAUGUGUAAUCUUAAGAAUUCAAUAGAGGAGUUAAUAUUAUGAAAAUUCGAGAUUGUGUUUGUGUGAUUGGCCUAUCCCUUGUGAGGGUGAAGCGCCCCCCCCUCUCUCUCUCUCUCUCUCUCUCCCCUCUUCUAUCCAACAAGGCUACUGUUCGCGUCACUGUUCACAGUGCUCAGAACAGCCACCCGACAGCCCCUAAACACUUGUGUUUUCAUUCCCAAAACCCUACCCUUUUACAAAUCCUUAAACUCCUAUUUUAAAUACUUUUGCUCCCAUAAAAUCCUACUAAAUCCAGCCCUAUAAGUCUAUUGUUGCUUCUGCCAGUAUACUUAACUCGGCUCAUUACUUGUGGGAAGGUAAUCCCUACUCGUCCUACAUCAAUAUAUAUAUUUUAUUUCUAAAGUUUUAAAGCACUUGUAAAUAUAUAUAUACUUUCUUAAGUGGCAAGAUUACAUUUUCAAAAAACCCAGUUCUAUAAAUAGUGGGUCUAUCAGCACCAUGAGCAGUUAUUAUGGUCAACAGAUUGAUUAAGCAAUCAAGUUGAAAAUGAACUUAAUUGAUUGUAGGACUUCUUGUGGCUUUGAUUAACUUUGUGAAUAUGGCAGCUGCCCUUUCUGUGAGCAAUGGUUUUGGAUUGGCAGUUAUGUAGGUUGGUUUGUUUUAAUUAAAUGUUACAUAGAAGAAUAAAAAUGCCAACAUGGCAUGUAAAAAAGUAUUAAAAAAAAGCUAACAAAGUAACAUAGGUGGCAUAAAAAACAUUAUAAUGGGAAUUAAUUGUUAAAGAGUGUUAGAUUGGGAAUCCUUUUUAUUUUAUUUUAUAAAAUAGUGUUAUUUUGGACAAAAAAACUCAUUUUAUUUUGGGCUGAAUUUUCUAACUUUUGCAAUAUAUUAUUUGCAGCUUCUUGAUUCAUGCCUAAAAUCACCACUUCUUCCAGCAUAUUUAGCUGCUGCUUUUGCUAAGAAAUUGAGCAGACUGUCACUUUCAGUUCCUCCGUCAGGAGCGUUGGUCAUUAUUGCUUUGAUUCACAACCUUUUACGGAGACAUCCUUCAAUCAACUGUUUGGUUCAUCGGGAGAAUGGUGAUGGAACUUCUAGGGAUAAUUCUAGAGUGGAGGAUGGUGAAACCGAGGACUCCUGUACCAAACCAGAAAUAUCUACCAAACCAGAACUAUCUAGUAAAAAAUCAGGGAUUGAUCAUUUCAACAAUGAGGAAAGUAAUCCUGUAAAAACUGAUGCAAUGAGAAGUUCUCUUUGGGAGAUUGAUACCCUCCGUCACCACUACUGCCCACCUGUAUCAAGGUGCAUGCUUUAACCUGAUCAUCUCUGUUUCCUCUCUUGAAUGUGCAUGCUUGUUUGCG